GUGCUCACUUCGCAGCACAUACUAAAAUUGGAACGAUUCAGAGAUUAUUAGCCUGGCCCCUGCGCAAGGAGGACACGUAAAUUCAUGAAGUGUUCCAUAUUUUC